GACGUAGGGCGCGAGCGUUGUCCGGAUUUAUUGGGCGUAAAGAGCUCGUAGGCGGCUUGUCGCGUCGUCCGUGAAAACUUGGGGCUCAACCCCAAGCUUGCGGUCGAUACGGGCAGGCUAGAGUUCGGUAGGGGAGACUGGAAUUCCUGGUGUAGCGGUGAAAUGCGCAGAUAUCAGGAGGAACACCGGUGGCGAAGGCGGGUCUCUGGGCAGUAACUGACGCUGAGGAGCGAAAGCAUGGGGAGCGAACAGG
rnacentral:rRNA from 1 species